CGGAGGGUGCAAGCGUUAUCCGGAUUCACUGGGUUUAAAGGGUGCGUAGGAGGGCAGGUAAGUCAGUGGUGAAAUCUCCGGGCUUAACUCGGAAACUGCCGUUGAUACUAUCUGCCUUGAAUACCGUGGAGGUGAGCGGAAUAUGUCAUGUAGCGGUGAAAUGCUUAGAUAUGACAUAGAACACCAAUUGCGAAGGCAGCUCGCUACACGAAUAUUGACUCUGAGGCACGAAAGCGUGGGGAUCAAACAGGAUUAGAUACCCUGGUAGUCCACGCCCUAAACGAUGGAUACUCGACAUACGCGAUACACAGUGUGUGUCUGAGCGAAAGCAUUAAGUAUCCCACCUGGGAAGUACGACCGCAAGGUUG
rnacentral:rRNA from 1 species